rnacentral:pre_miRNA from 1 species
AAUGCAAAUGCUGGGUCAUAUGGUAAGGGUGUGUUUAGUUUUUAAAGAAAGUAUCCAACUAUUUUCCAGAGUGACUGUACCAUUUUAAAUUCCACCAGCAAU